rnacentral:rRNA from 1 species
CCAUUCCGAACUCGGAAGUUAAGCCCGCCAGCGCCGAUGAUACUGCCCGCGGGAGCGGGUGGGAAAGUAGGGCGGUGCCAGGC